UACCAGCACCCCGAGUGGUCGGGACGAUUAUUGGGCCUAAAGCAUCCGUAGCCGGCCUUACAAGUCCUCCGUUAAAUCCAGCUGCUUAACAGAUGGGCUGCGGAGGAUACUAUAAGACUAGGAGGCAGGAGAGGCAAGCGGUACUCAGUGGGUAGGGGUAAAAUCCGUUGAUCCAUUGAAGACCACCAGUGGCGAAGGCGGCUUGCCAGAAUGCGCUCGACGGUGAGAGAUGAAAGCUGGGGGAGCAAACCGG
rnacentral:rRNA from 1 species